AGGACGAACGGCUGGCGGCGUGCCUAACACAUGCAAGUCGAACGGAGCUAAGAGCUGCUCCGGAGCUAGUGGCGGACGGGUGAGUAACACGUGAGUAACCUGCCUUUCAGAGGGGAAUAAUGUUUGGAAACGGACACUAAUACCGCAUAAUAUAUUUUAAUCGCAUGAUUGAAAUAUCAAAGGAGCAAUCCGCUGAAAGAUGGACUCGCGUCUGAUUAGCCAGUUGGCGGGGUAACGGCCCACCAAAGCGACGAUCAGUAGCCGGACUGAGAGGUUGAACGGCCACAUUGGGACUGAGAUACGGCCCAGACUCCUACGGGAGGCAGCAGUGGGGAAUAUUGGGCAAUGGGCGCCAAGCCUGACCCAGCAACGCCGCGUGAAGGAAGAAGGCUUUCGGGUUGUAAACUUCUUUUGAGAGGGAAGAGGAGAAGACGGUACCUCUUGAAUAAGCCGCGGCUAACUACGUGCCAGCCGCAGC
rnacentral:rRNA from 1 species